GGGGUAAUGCGCAGGAGAGCCCCCGUUUGUCCAUUUAAAUUAGCUUCAUCAUCCAUAACAAGAGUUUAAAAGGCAGAAGAGCAAGAACCAUGCAUAAUGCACUGUGCGUAAUGCAUAACGCACUGUGUCACGGUGCAUAAUAAUCAGCCCAGCUCGCUCCCGCCACCCAGCCUCCCAAGAUUUCUAAAUCUCUUCCAGUAAGCAUUUUGUGAGAAAGGCUUUGAUAAAAAAUGCCAUUUAGGGACUUUAAAAUUUACAGCCAGGCAAUUUGUCAUCAUUUAGAGGAGCAAGAAGAAGGAAAACUGAAUAUCACACACUCAUUUCCCAAACCUCCCAGUAGCAAAAGCUUCUGGCUUCACUGUGGAAAGGAUCUUGCCUUCCUCAAGGGACUUCAUGGAGGUGAGCCUGCCCUUCCUGAUGGAUCGCCUCAAACCACAGCUGUGGUUUGCACCCAGAGAGGAACACUUCGCAAAUGCACCGAUCUCUCCCAGAUGACAGGAAAAGGCUGCAUUAUCAAGACCACCCUCUAGACUUUCACCUUAGAAGGCACAGAGUCCGGGACGAACAAGGGCAACAUGAACAGCUGUGCGCAUCUCCAGUAGCAGCAGUCAUUUCCCGCUCAGCCAGGAAUUAAGGAACACACAGCAAAUGCCAUCAAGUUACUGACUAUGGAAACUUCUAAGAAGAACCUACUUAUACCAUUGGCGAGGAACACUAUGGGCUACACUGUUGGGUUGCAUCAUACAAUACAUAGUGUAUAUAUUGA